UCGAUAGAAGAAAGGAGAGAAAUACGUAAAAUAGCCCUAAAGUACCACCGUUAUUCCUUAAUAAAGUUCUUUCCCAGAAAAUUUUUGUGAUCACGCGCAAUGCGGUCGGAAGAAUCAGUGUUUGAUGCGGUAUGUAUAUAAUUUUUAAUAUUUGUUAGAGCAUAAUGUCUCUCAUUAAAGUUAACGGUAAUGCUCAGGCGCGAAAAUAGAGUCAGCGUGUUCGCCGAUUGUUAUUUAAACGAACGCGUUGAUAGUCUUUUAUUUUCUUUUUUUUUGUACAUUUCUUUUUUUAAAUAUUCGCUUUCGGUGCUAGAGUCGCAAGUCUCACAAGAAGAUAAAGCCUCUCCUGGAGCUCAAGAAUGUUUUUCAACUUCCACUUUUAUCAGAUUUUCUGGAAGGAUGUAGUGGUGCUUCAAAACUAAGCAUGUUUUUCACUCCUUCCUCUUCUUUCUGUUGCCUGGAAAGGAUGUUGUGGUGCUUUAAAAGCCAAAAAUGUUACAGGAAUUGCGGUUACAACAAUAUCGACGACAACGUUCUUCGCAUCUAAUCGUGAGUUGCAUGCAUUUUUGUUCCUCUGGUCACUCACUCAUGUCGUAGGAUGAAAGGUCCGAAUCGACAUAGGUGACUAGUUGUAUUACGUAGAUUUUUUAACGAGCAUAGUGACCGCAAGUAUUUAUUAUAUUUGCGAGUAGUAACAUUUUCUUUUCUGUGUUUUAUUUAUUAGCUCAGGAUAGGUCUUCUUGCAUAUCGCGUUUUUUAAUAUUAGUAAUAAUGCAUUAAUCAUUGAAACGAGUGUAAUAUUAAUAUUGAUAACUCGAUUAUGUAUAUAUGAGUGAAAAUCGCAAUUUGUAUUUAUUAUACAU